rnacentral:rRNA from 1 species
AGAGUUUGAUCCUGGCUCAGAACGAACGCUGGCGGCGUGGAUAAGACAUGCAAGUCGAACGGGAGAAUUGCUAGCUUGCUAAUAAUUCUCUAGUGGCGCACGGGUGAGUAACACGUGAGUAACCUGCCUCUUAGUGGGGGAUAGCCCUGGGAAACCGGGAUUAAUACCGCAUACGAUUGAAAGAUCAAAGCAGCAAUGCGCUAGGAGAUGGGCUCGCGGCCUAUUAGUUAGUUGGUGAGGUAACGGCUCACCAAGGCGAUGACGGGUAGCCGGUCUGAGAGGAUGUCCGGCCACACUGGAACUGAGACACGGUCCAGACACCUACGGGUGGCAGCAGUCGAGAAUCAUUCACAAUGGGGGCAACCCUGAUGGUGCGACGCCGCGUGGGGGAAUGAAGGUCUUCGGAUUGUAAACCCCUGUCAUGUGGGAGCAAAUUAAAAAGAUAGUACCACAAGAGGAAGAGACGGCUAACUCUGUGCCAGCAGCCGCGGUAAUACAGAGGUCUCAAGCGUUGUUCGGAAUCACUGGGCGUAAAGCGUGCGUAGGCUGUUUCGUAAGUCGUGUGUGAAAGGCAGGGGCUCAACCCCUGGAUUGCACAUGAUACUGCGAGACUAGAGUAAUGGAGGGGGAACCGGAAUUCUCGGUGUAGCAGUGAAAUGCGUAGAUAUCGAGAGGAACACUCGUGGCGAAGGCGGGUUCCUGGACAUUAACUGACGCUGAGGCACGAAGGCCAGGGGAGCGAAAGGGAUUAGAUACCCCUGUAGUCCUGGCAGUAAACGGUGCACGCUUGGUGUGCGGGGAAUCGACCCCCUGCGUGCCGGAGCUAACGCGUUAAGCGUGCCGCCUGGGGAGUACGGUCGCAAGAUUAAAACUCAAAGAAAUUGACGGGGACCCGCACAAGCGGUGGAGUAUGUGGCUUAAUUCGAUGCAACGCGAAGAACCUUACCUGGGCUUGACAUGUAAUGAACAACAUGUGAAAGCAUGCGACUCUUCGGAGGCGUUACACAGGUGCUGCAUGGCCGUCGUCAGCUCGUGUCGUGAGAUGUUUGGUUAAGUCCAGCAACGAGCGCAACCCCUGUUGCCAGUUACCAUCGAGUAAUGUCGGGGACUCUGGCGAGACUGCCCAGAUCAACUGGGAGGAAGGUGGGGACGACGUCAGGUCAGUAUGGCCCUUAUGCCCAGGGCUGCACACGUACUACAAUGCCCAGUACAGAGGGGGCCGAAGCCGCGAGGCGGAGGAAAUCCUGAAAACUGGGCCCAGUUCGGACUGUAGGCUGCAACCCGCCUACACGAAGCCGGAAUCGCUAGUAAUGGCGCAUCAGCUACGGCGCCGUGAAUACGUUCCCGGGUCUUGCACACACCGCCCGUCA